rnacentral:snRNA from 2 species
AUCGCUUCUCGGCCUUUUGGCUAAGAUCAAGUGUAGUAUCUGUUCUUAUCAGUUUAAUAGGUCAUAAAUCCCUGUUUCUUUGCACUUCUAGUAAGUUUUGGUUGAAAGCAAGUUAAGGUAUGUAAUACAUUGCAUUUACUCUAAGGAUUGCUUUAUUUUUC